UACAUGCAAGUAGAACGCACAGGAUGCACCGUAGUUUACUACACCGUAUUCUGUGAGUUGCGAACGGGUGAGUAACGCGUAGGUAACCUGCCUGGUAGCGGGGGAUAACUAUUGGAAACGAUAGCUAAUACCGCAUAAGAACAUUUACUGCAUGGUAGAUGUUUAAAAGGUGCAAAAGCAUCACUACCAGAUGGACCUGCGUUGUAUUAGCUAGUUGGUGAGGUAACGGCUCACCAAGGCAACGAUACAUAGCCGACCUGAGAGGGUGAUCGGCCACACUGGGACUGAGACACGGCCCAGACUCCUACGGGAGGCAGCAGUAGGGAAUCUUCGGCAAUGGGGGGAACCCUGACCGAGCAACGCCGCGUGAGUGAAGAAGGUUUUCGGAUCGUAAAGCUCUGUUGUUAAGGAAGAACGUGUGUGAGAGUGGAAAGUUCACACAGUGACGGUACUUAACCAGAAAGGGACGGCUAACUACGUGCCAGCAGCCGCGGUAAUACGUAGGUCCCGAGCGUUGUCCGGAUUUAUUGGGCGUAAAGCGAGCGCAGGCGGUUAGAUAAGUCUGAAGUGAAAGGCAGUGGCUCAACCAUUGUAGGCUUUGGAAACUGUUUAACUUGAGUGCAGAAGGGGAGAGUGGAAUUCCAUGUGUAGCGGUGAAGUGCGUAGAUAUAUGGAGGAACACCGGUGGCGAAAGCGGCUCUCUGGUCUGUAACUGACGCUGAGGCUCGAAAGCGUGGGGAGCGAACAGGAUUAGAUACCCUGGUAGUCCACGCCGUAAACGAUGAGUGCUAGGUGUUAGGUCCUUUCCGGGACUUAGUGCCGCAGCUAACGCAUUAAGCA
rnacentral:rRNA from 1 species